rnacentral:misc_RNA from 1 species
UGAACAUCAAAUAUGAUGGAUAUUCUAAGCAACUGAUUUCAUAAAUUACAAGUUCAAAAGACGAUAUCAAAAUGCAUUCAAGAUGCGUACAAUUAGGCCUGAGAGAACACUUCUAAACUAGAAGCAAUAUUCAUCUAUCUUUACUGUUAGAGAUAUAAACUAUUCUUAUCACUUUGGUCUUAGAUUUGUCAAGUCUCUAUCACUUGUGUGGUCUUAAUCUUAUCUUUCUCAUUUAUACGUUAUGACCAUACACGCACAGAUUUUUAAAUGCAAAAAUUUUUGUUUCACUUAAUUAUUCCCUGUGCAUGAGAAAGAAGUACAAGCACUAAUGCAUUCAAUUAUUAUUGCACAAUUACUUUGAACUAACAUCCAUGAUAUUGUGUGUCCAGGUGACUGCAAUAUCCCUGCCA